UACGUAGGGUGCAAGCGUUGUCCGGAAUUAUUGGGCGUAAAGAGCUCGUAGGCGGUUCGUCGCGUCGGCUGUGAAAUCCCGAGGCUCAACCUCGGGUCUGCAGUCGAUACGGGCGGACUGGAGUACUGCAGGGGAGACUGGAAUUCCUGGUGUAGCGGUGAAAUGCGCAGAUAUCAGGAGGAACACCGGUGGCGAAGGCGGGUCUCUGGGCAGUUACUGACGUGAGGAGCGAAAGCGUGGGGAGCGAACAGG
rnacentral:rRNA from 1 species